rnacentral:rRNA from 1 species
CCUACGGGAGGCAGCAGUGGGGAAUUUUGGACAAUGGGCGCAAGCCUGAUCCAGCAAUGCCGCGUGAGUGAAGAAGGCCUUCGGGUUGUAAAGCUCUUUUGUCAGGGAAGAAACGGCUGAGGCGAAUACCUUUGGCUAAUGACGGUACCUGAAGAAUAAGCACCGGCUAACUACGUGCCAGCAGCCGCGGUAAUACGUAGGGUGCAAGCGUUAAUCGGAAUUACUGGGCGUAAAGCGUGCGCAGGCGGUUUUGUAAGUCUGACGUGAAAUCCCCGGGCUCAACCUGGGAAUUGCGUUGGAGACUGCAAGGCUGGAGUCUGGCAGAGGGGGGUAGAAUUCCACGUGUAGCAGUGAAAUGCGUAGAGAUGUGGAGGAACACCGAUGGCGAAGGCAGCCCCCUGGGUCAAGACUGACGCUCAUGCACGAAAGCGUGGGGAGCAAACAGGAUUAGAUACCCUGGUAGUCCACGCCCUAAACGAUGUCUACUAGUUGUCGGGUCUUAAUUGACUUGGUAACGCAGCUAACGCGUGAAGUAGACCGCCUGGGGAGUACGGUCGCAAGAUUAAAACUCAAAUGAAUUGACGG